UACGGGAGGCAGCAGUGGGGAAUAUUGCACAAUGGGCGCAAGCCUGAUGCAGCCAUGCCGCGUGUAUGAAGAAGGCCUUCGGGUUGUAAAGUACUUUCAGUCGUGAGGAAGGUGUUAAGGUUAAUAACCUUAGCAAUUGACGUUAGCGACAGAAGAAGCACCGGCUAACUCCGUGUCAGCAGCCGCGGUAAUACGGAGGGUGCGAGCGUUAAUCGGAAUUACUGGGCGUAAAGGGCACGCAGGCGGUUAAUUAAGUUGGAUGUGAAAUCCCCGGGCUUAACCUGGGAAUGGCAUUCAAGACUGGUUAGCUAGAGUCUUGUAGAGGGGGUAGAAUUCCAUGUGUAGCGGUGAAAUGCGUAGAGAUGUGGAGGAAUACCGGUGGCGAAGGCGGCCCCUGGGACAAAGACUGACGCUCAUGUGCGAAAGCGUGGGGAGCAAACGAGGGAUUAGAUACC
rnacentral:rRNA from 1 species